rnacentral:rRNA from 1 species
GAUGAACGCUAGCGGCAGGCUUAACACAUGCAAGUCGAGGGGUAGAGGCUUUCGGGCCUUGAGACCGGCGCACGGGUGCGUAACGCGUAUGCAAUCUGCCUUUCACAGAGGGAUAGCCCAGAGAAAUUUGGAUUAAUACCUCAUAGCAUAACACAACCGCAUGGUUGAGUUAUUAAAGUCACAACGGUGAAAGAUGAGCAUGCGUCCCAUUAGUUAGUUGGUAAGGUAACGGCUUACCAAGACUUCGAUGGAUAGGGGUCCUGAGAGGGAGAUCCCCCACACUGGUACUGAGACACGGACCAGACUCCUACGGGAGGCAGCAGUGAGGAAUAUUGGUCAAUGGGCGCAAGCCUGAACCAGCCAUGCCGCGUGCAGGAUGACGGUCCUAUGGAUUGUAAACUGCUUUUGUACGAGAAGAAACACUCCUUCGUGAAGGAGCUUGACGGUAUCGUAAGAAUAAGGAUCGGCUAACUCCGUGCCAGCCGCCGCUGUAA